CGGACCAAGAAGUCUUGAAUGUGCGCGAGUCAAAGGGCUGGCUAAACCCCAAGGCGGAACGAAAGUGAUUUUCUCUUUCAUAGGGCUGAUCCGGUUCGGGAUGCGCGAGCGGGAGUUCCGCCGUUAUUCCAAUGCCUCUCGGGGUUGCGGGUGGCGACGGCGCUCCUUCAACUCUCCCCCCGAUUUGCCACCCUAAUAUGUGGACGGCGCAAGCCCGGGGCUCGCAUUUGCUCCUCUCCGCGCGAUUAACUUUAGGGCGCCGUCGUUGUGGUCGUCGUCGUCGUUCGUCUCUCACCAUUCGGAGGAAUAAUAUUCCUCCUUCUGGUGAAAAGGCGACGCGGCGUCGGUCUCGCGGCGGUCGUUCGCGAAAUAAGUCGCGGGGACGGGCAGCGGGUACCUUGAGCGCACCUUCUAGGACCCGAAAGAUGGUGAUCUAUGCGUGGCGAGGAUGAAGCCAGGGGAAACUCUGGUGGAAGUCCGUAGCGAUUCUGACGUGCAAAUCGAUCGUCGGAGCUGCGUAUAGGGGCGAAAGACCUAUCGAACCAUCUAGUA
rnacentral:rRNA from 1 species